GACGAACGCUGGCGGCGUGCUUAACACAUGCAAGUCGAACGAUGAAGCCGGAGCUUGCUCUGGUGAAUUAGUGGCGAACGGGUGAGUAACACGUGAGUAACCUGCCCUUGACUCUGGGAUAACUGCUAGAAAUGGUAGCUAAUACCGGAUACGACCCUCGGAGGCAUCUCCAGGGGGUGGAAAGAAUUUCGGUCAAGGAUGGACUCGCGGCCUAUCAGCUAGUUGGUGAGGUAGCGGCUCACCAAGGCGACGACGGGUAGCCGGCCUGAGAGGGUGACCGGCCACACGGGGACUGAGACACGGCCCAGACUCCUACGGGAGGCAGCAGUGGGGAAUAUUGCACAAUGGGCGCAAGCCUGAUGCAGCAACGCCGCGUGAGGAAUGACGGCCUUCGGGUUGUAAACCUCUUUUAGUAGGGAAGAAGCGAAAGUGACGGUACCUGCAGAAAAAGCACCGGCUAACUACGUGCCAGCAGCCGCCGUAA
rnacentral:rRNA from 1 species